UCCUGGCAGGCAUAACAGGGCAGAGGUGUCAGCACCACUCUGGCCGUUUCUUUUUGCUUUGGUCCCAGCAUCCUGGUUUCUUAUCUAGGCUUUAAUGAGCCCCUGACUCCUAUCCACUCCAGCCUCUGCCCAGGACACCUGGGCUGCUCGUCUCCAAAGCAAUACUGAGACUUCCUCUUUGUUGGUGGGCCUUCUAGGGGAAUAUGCUGAAUCCCAUCCUCCUGUGGGGAGAGGCUGAGCCACUCUAAUUCAGGUCAUCAGGUGCAUCUUCCUUCAUUGGGUCUGAGCACAAAGAAGAUAGAGCUUCCGCCUUUUCCCUCUUGGCACAGCCCUGGGCCUUACUCUCCUGGUCUGUAGAAUGGAAGUUUGCCUUCCUGCUGAACAGAACUUGUGAAAACAUGGGAGAGAUCAAUUUCCUGCCCGUCAUGUGUGGCUUCUGUCAUGCAUCUCUGAAGUCCACAUGGCCUAGAAAUAACCUGAAUGAGCACCUGGAUAAAGUGAAAUUCAGGGGCUGUCUUUGAUGUGGGCUAGGAGUCAUUGGGAGGCACCAUGCGCUGUUUGCAUGGAGCAACAGAAAAGAGGAUUGGAGAGAAUGGGCCUACUCCAGUUGCUGUGGUUAAGUUGCUGGAUGAACUUGGGCAAGUCUUUGCCCUGUUCUGAUUCAGUCACCACAUCCGAUCAGUGGAGGAUUAGACCAGAUGGUCUCCAAGAGGGCUUUGGCAGGUUCUCUGUUCUCUCGGCAGAAAUAGGAGGGGCCUUAGAAGUUUGAACACUUUGGAGUCUAAGAAAUGUCUCUGAAUGCCUCCCCCAGGCUGCCUUCUCCAACCUUGGUCGUGGGAACUGGAGGGCAGAAAUCCCCCUCUUGGGCCUAUACAUCCAGGAGGAAGAACCUGCCCUUAACUUGGUCUCUCCAGAUUCCCCUCCUACCUUGGAAACGCAUGGAGACCACUUUGGUAGGAGACAGCCAGAGUGGACAUUCCUCAGACACCCUGGGCCCCUGCUUCCUCAUCCAGCCUGCAUGUGUUCCCCCAUCACGCUGUGCUUCAAGAUGAGGCUUGGUUCUGGUGACUCAGGGCAUCCAUCUGCCCUCCUAGUCCAGCCAGCGACCGCUCAACACCAGCCCCUCUGCUCCCUCAUGUGGAGUUUGAUCUCAGUCUCUAAAACAGGACUCCUGCAAAGGGCAACCCAUUUGGUGCAGGACCACAAGCCAGAUGCUGAGGGCCGGGACUGGGAGGGUUAAGCCUUCCCUCCCUCCAGCCUGCCCCCCUGCAGUGCUGGCCUCAGCUGCUUGGAAUCCCUGGGGUCCUGUAGGGCCCUCCCGACAGCCAGAUGGGCAGCAGCGCCAGGAGAGGAGGAGGAGGAGCAGUGGAAACAGGCCCCAGGGUACCCCCGGGCAGGGAGGGGAAGGGAAGAGAGGAACAGAGGGAGGAGAGAGGAUGGCUGUAUGGUACGGGAGCCCCACUGGCAGAGCGGAGAAGGCCGGACCCUUCUUCUUGAGCCAGGCAGGGGGACAGGGCUGCCUUGGGGCUUUGGAGCUGUGGAGAGUUCGGGGCACAGGCCAUUGUGCUCAGCGGGCCUCCGCCUGGGAGCCAGCUCUUGGCGUGAAACCCUACCCGGUGCUGGCUCCUGCUCCUCUUUCUUUUUUCUUAAUAAGGUCGAAUCAGAGUGAGUCAGAGGAGCCAAGUUUCCUGUUAGGCUCUGUUUGAAUAAACUCUGCUCUGAGCAUAGCUUGGGCCUCUGCACAAGCUCCUGGGGCCAGGAUUGUAGCCCUGCCAGCCAUCUCUGCUGAGACUGGAGACCUGGGGUCCUGGCCUGGCCCCCAGAUGCUCCCCAGGGAAGCCUGUUAAGCUCUCAGAGCUUCAAAGUCUUCAGCUAUAACUUGGGAGUAAUAAUACCUUUCUCGUGGUAUAUUUGGGAGGAUGAAAUAAAAGGAUUAUGAAGAGUACCUACCCAGCACAGUGCCAGGCAUGUGGCCACUAUUUUUUUCCCCCCUCUGGACUGAUGAGAGAAGGGAGGGCUUCACCCCCAGGGUGUUCCCCCCGUCCCCAUUUUCUCUGUCCCUUUCAUCUUUUUCAUCUGUCUUCUGCAUCCUUUUCUUGUACCCAGCCCAGGGCACACUCCUGGGGCCGGUCCUCUCCUCCUCUCCACUCCCUUCCUUGCCCUCCUUUUCUCUGCCAAUCUGUGUCUCCCAAAGUGGCUGAUAAGACCUUCUUGGAUCUCUGAGCCCAGAGGAGCCUGGCUGGUUCCCCCUCUGCACACACAGGACAAGGCCUUGCCUGAGUAGCUGGAGGUGUCCUGACAUCCUUUGCUUGGAAGCAGCAGAGCCGGGGUCUAAGAGAGACCCCAGGCAGGCAGCAAAGGAUGCAGAACUGGGGUCAAAUGAGGGCUUCAAGUCGCCAGGCUGGGCCUGAGCUGUCUGGAGGUGAGGGGCGGGUGGCAGGCAGCUCCUCACCAGGCCCUGUUCCUAGGGGCUGGGUUCACACCACAGUUUUAAGACCUAGCCCUGUGGUUGAGGCUUGUUGCCAGUCCCUGGCAAUAGGAACCAGGCACAAGUGUUCUUGGAGGGCUGGGGUAUAGGGCUGCAAGAGCUUGUUGGUAGUGUGUGACUUUGUUAAGAAUCUAAUGUUCUGGACGGGGCUGCUCCUCCCCUGGGCUUCCCAUGGGACACAGCCAGUGUCUUUUGAUCCUGUGCUGGAACUCCAGGCUCUGGAAAAUCUGGAGGGAGUGAGGAGGCCUCAGACCCAACCGCAGAGGGUUUGGGAAGCCGAGAAAGGAUAUGAGCCGUGGGAUGCCUUACUGCUUUGCAGAGGAAAGGACCAGGAGGCCCACUGUGGGUCAGAAUGUUUCUAUGGUUGUGGGGAAAGGAUGAGGCAAACUCUGGGUGUCCCUGCCUUCUGUCCCCGACCUGGAAUGGGACUGGUCCUUAUCUACCCACUGAGAUCCCUGGCUGCUGAGCCUAGGCCCCUGGCAAAGGCUCUUGAUGGGGUUUGUGCGGACCUGGGGGUGGAAGCCCCAGCCCAGCUGGCAGUGAACUGUGCAGGCCCCUGCUGCUGCUUCUAGAAAUUGGGCCGAGGAAAUGCUGAGUGAGGAGGCCUGGCAAGCUGGCAUAGAAUGUGCUGACUCUGCAGCAAGAGGACCACCAAGUGACCACUGCCAGCUGGGCCCUGCACCCACCCUUCCCCUGCAGCCACAUCUGGUGCAAUGGUGGGCGAGGCAGGGGGGCUUUGGAGGUCCCCAGAGCCAAGGUAGCCGUGGAGGGGCCCGCAGGAGGGGCCGGGGCCCUUUGGUUUGGAAGUGCCUCUCUUCAGCGCUGGAACUCUGGAGAAGCCCAGAAAUAGGGGAGGUGAGGUCAGAGCCUUUUGGAAGGACAAAUGGGGAGGUGAGGGGGAAGGGAAGGAACCCACCCUUCUCUAGGACCCAGGGGAAUUCAGUGGCUCUGGCCACCUCCCACUCUGCUUUUCCUCCUAGCUCUCUGGGGCUCCCGCCUGCAUGCUCCCCAGGGAAUUGGAAAUACCAGCACUGAUACAUGGGUCUGGUCAUCCAGGCAAAGCUCUAUGAGGCAGGAAGCCUCCUCGAUCCCCGGAUCCCCUCGUCCCCCAGCCCAGCCAGCUUCUCCACUUCCAGACUUUCUCCCCGUCCUGAGGGGUGGGCAGGGCUCUGGGUCUGGCUAAAUGGUAACAUUCCCUGUCCACGUCGCCCCCACCCCCGGCCCCCAAUCCAUCCCAGGUCCAGAGCUGGCAUGGUCAGGGAAUAUCAUGAUUACAGGGAUGGAGAGGGGGUCUCCUCCCUGAGGCCUUCCUUGGGUGGAAGGUUUUUGCUGAAGUUGUUGGUUGGGGCCUGCUGGAUAGGACAGCCCCUGGUGUCAAGGUUCGAGUUGGGGUGGCUCUCAGCCAGCAUGCUGUGGGGAGGAGGAGGUCACAGAGUUCCCUGCCCAAAGGCGAGAACUGCCAAGACCAAGCAGGAGGCCAGUCCCUUGGGCUGCAGCCUGGCAAACCCUGGAGAACUGGGAGGAACAGGGAGGUUCCUGAGGCAGGAACCCAGGGAUUCUAAUAGCAACCUGGCAAGGCUAAGGGAAGAUCCUCCAGCAGUAGGAAAUGGCAACCCACUCCAGUGUUCUUGCCGGGGAAAUCCCAUGGACAGAGGAACCUGGUGCUACAGUCCGUGGAGUCCCAAAGAGUCGAACAUGACCACUAAACAAGGCUAAGGGAAAGCUCUUUUCUCUCUCUGUCUCUCUCUCUGCUUUUGUUUUCCUGCCUCUAUAUCUUUGACUUCCAUUUGGGUCUUUCUGGGUUUCUUUACCUUUAUUUUUUUUUCCUUUUUUCAGAAUAUUCCUGUUUUAAUUCAUUCAUUCACUUUCUCUGUCUCCCUCCAUUUCAGUGACUUACAGUCUCUACUCAUUGUUUCUAUUCUUUUAUAUCUCCCUUACUCCACCUCACCUGUUUCUCUGAAUUAUUCCCUUAUGUGUCCACUCAUUCAGUCAGCGUGUUCCCUGGGUGCCUGCUGAAUGGAAGCCCUGUGUUGGCUGGGGGAUCCCCAAAGAGCUCACACUCUAGUGGGAGUGGCUAGUCCUGAGGAGGGGUGCACCUUUAGGCUGACUCUGUGACCUUUGAGUCACCCAAUAAAUAUUAGUUGAACAAAUGAAUGAAUGGUGACUUUCUAUAUUCUUUGACUAUUUUCUGUUGUAACAUUCACCUGCUUAGUAUUGAUUUAUAAGAUGUAGUAUAUUUAGCAUCUUUUCGUAUAUCACUCUUUUUGUCAUAUAGGGUGCAGGUAAUUUUUGAAGUUUGUCAUUUGCAUCUGUAGUUUUUAUACUUUCCUGAUAUAUUGAAGUGCUUCAGUUUUAAGCUGUCAAAUUAUUCGAUUUUUCUGUUAUGAUCCCAGACUUUAUUGUUAUAUGACCUUUGCUUUCACCAAGAAUGCAUACAUUUUCAAUUAAAUUUCAAAAUUUUAUACUUUAAUUUCCCUUUAUAUUUAACUCUAUUUUAUUUUUGUAUCUGGUGAGAGGUAAGGAAACAACUUUAAAACAAAUUAAGCCACUAUCAUUUUAAUAUGAAUGAUAAAUUAAUCCAUAAGUGAAUUCCUAGUGAUCUGAAAGGGCAUUUUAUCAUAUACUGAAUAGUUUUCGGUUUGAUUGUGCUUUUUAUUCUGUACCAUUGACUUAUCAGAUCAUUUUUACAUUGAGAUUACCUUAUUUUAAUAGUUGUAACUUUUAAAUAAUGAUUAUUAACUGAGAAUACAAAUCUCAUUUAUUUAUUUAUUGGCCCUGGCUUGUAGAGUGCAGUAUCUUAGUUUCCUGACCAGGGAUUGAACCCAUAGCCCCUGUAAUGGAAGCAUGGGUAUUUUAACCACUGGACUGCCCAAAAUUAUUCUUAGUGCUUGUCAUUUAGGUGAACUCUAGAUUUUUUUUUCCAAGUUAAAUAUAAAACAAAAUGUCCCUCUGGAAAUUGGAAUUGGAUUAAAUUUAUAGAUUAAUGUAGUGGUAAAUAAUUUCUUUGCAACACUGAGUGUUUCCAUUCAGGAAGAUGGUGUAUCUUUCUAUUACUAAGGUCUUUUUAAAUUGUUGUUCUACAGUAAAGUUUUAUAGAUGAAUAUAUGUGUCUGGUGCAUCUUUAAUGAAACAUGGCAAUGACAUCUGUAGUUGGCAGCUUCUGAAAUGGUUCUCAGUGAUCCCUGGUAGUCACUUCCUUGUAUAAUCCCCAUGGCUUUAUGUGUGGAUUGGACCUAAUAACUUGCUUCUAGUGACUAGAAUGUGGAAAAAAGUGAUGGGAUGUUACUUCUGAGAUUAGGUUGUGAAAAAUUGUGACUUCUGUCUUGCUGGAGCUCUCUUUCCCGCUCAGGCUCUCUCACUUGCCUUCUCUAACAAAACCAGCUUCUAUGUUUCGAGCUGCCUUAUAGGAAGCCCAUGUGACAAGGGACUGAGACCCUCAGCCCAACAGCCAUGUGAGUGAGCAUACCUACUUGAACCUUCAGAUGAGACCGCAGCCUUGGCUAACUACUUGAUUAUAGCUUUCUGAGGGACUCAGAGGCAGAGAACUCAGCUCAGCCACCCGCAGAUUCCUGGCCCACAGAAACUUGAGAUAAUAAAUUCUGCUGUUUUAAACCACUGUGCUUUGGGGGCAAUUUGUCAUGCAGCAAUGGAUAACUAAUGCAGCAUCUUUAGUUAUUUAAUUUUUGCUUAAUGUUUUCUGCUAAGUAUCAGGAAGUAGAAAAGAUAUUAACUUUUCUGUAGUUAUUUUAUAACUGGCUACUUUACUAAACUCUUCUAUUCUGAUAAUUUUGUAUUCCUUUUCCUAGUUUUUCUGAGUACUACUUGCAAAUAAUUAUAAUUUAAUCUUCUUAUUUUUUUCUAAUUGCAGUAGCUAGAAUUUUUAUAAUAUUUAGUGUUGAAUAACGAGACAGUAGAAAUCUUUAUCUUGUUCACAUAUUUGAUGAGAAUGCUUUUUUUAUUUCACUGAUUUGGUGUUGGCUGUGGGUUUGAGAGCUAGUAUUUUUUACCACGAGAAACAAAUAUACUUCCAUCUCUAGUUCACUAGAGUUUUUUGAAAGAAAAUCAGGAAUGGAUAUUGAAAUUUACCAAGUAUCUAUUCAGCGUGUAAAAUGAUUUUUUUUCUCCUUUGACCUAUCGCCAUAGUUAAUCAGUUUCCUGCAGUUUUGAUAUAGCAUUAUCCGUGCAUUCCAGGAGUGUUUGCUCAUGGUGUAUUCUUCUCAUCGCUCUAGAUACUUUCACUGCUAGAAUUUCUUCCUCCGCUGGAUGAGGCCUCUGGUCCCCAGCCCUGGGAUGAGCCCUGUGGUGCGCUGUGAAGGCCUCUGCACUGUCAUUAGCUCUUGGUGUAACGCCACGUGUCCACUGAUUGUCACUCCAGACGUGCGUGGGAAGAGUGGGCUCAGCUGUGCCUGGAAGGCCUCUUUCUCCUCCAGGGUAGUGUGUUUCAAAAUAAAACCAACUCUUGGGGGAAAUCAUUGUCUGCUGUCAGCUCCAUAAAGCCAUCAAUAACAUUGCUAACUGGAAGAAAUGCUAGCACACGUCAACCAGCGGAAACCAAGCUGUCAAACCCCAAACUGUCAAACCAGUUAUUUGAUCUUUCUCACAAAAUUGCCUCACAGCCGUUUAGUUACAGGGCAAAAAUGUUUGCAGCAGAAAACGCUUUCGGCAAAGAUUUCUGUGGCAAAGAUGCUUACGGUGAAAACACUGGACACAUUCUUUUAAUAUGUUGUUGGAUUGGGUUUGGACUUUAAUCUGAUUAAAUUUUUAUUAGGACUUUACAUCUAUA